CCCCAAGGGGCAGGAAAGUCCAAAAUAUUUCCUCUCUUCUCUUUCUCAUCUUUGUUUGGUGGGAAUUCUGUGCUUUGUAGGGCCUCCCCUUCAUUUCACAAAUCUUUACUGAGCUCCUUCCACAUGCCAGGCUCAGUCCAACUGCCCAAGAUAUGCUAGCAAAUAAAACAGAGAAAGAGCUUCACCUGGUAGGACUUUGUUUCACAGAGCAGCAGUCCCCAACCUUUUUGGCACGAGGGACUGGUUUUGUGGAAGACAAUUUUUCUACACACCAGGGGUGGGAAAUGGUUCAGGAUGAUUCAAGAGCAUUAUGUUUAUUGCGCCCUUUAUUUCUAUUAUUAUCAUAUCAGCUCCACCUCAGGUCAUCAGGCAUUAGAUCCCAGAGGCUGGGGACCCCUGUCACAGAGGAAAACAUAUCAUGAGCAACAGGCCCAACGCAGAAGUGCAUCAUUUAGUGGUUCAGGAGCGUUAAGUGCUGUGAAAGAACAGAGGAAAACCAGAGUGCAUAGGGACAGCAGGAGAGCUGGGGGCAGAGCUGGAAGACAAGGGACAAGCUGGCACCUCCAAUAAGGUCAGGGUGAGCCUCCUUGAGGAGAAGACAUCUGAGAAGAUGGGAAAGCAGGGAGGGAGGAAGCUAGGUGGAUAAUUUCCAUGGGGAAAGAGUAUCAGGCAGAGGAAACGCAUCAGGCUUGUGCAAAGGCCCUGGGGGUGCCUGGUGGAUUUCAGGAGGACUGGAUUUCAGGAUUUCAGGAGGACUGGGGAGUAGUGAGGACUUGGAGCAGAGAGGUCUUGCUUUUCCUUGGAGUGUUAUGAGAGCCACUGAAGACUCUGAGCAGGAGGUGAUGAGAUUCGACUUUAAUUUUAACAUGGCCAGUAGCUCUGCUGUUGAGUUGAGGAGUGACAAUAACACGUUAAGGGCUGGAGCUGGGAGACCAAUCAGAGCCUUGCAGGAGCUCAGACAGAGAUGGCGGGCGCAGUAGAGGUGGGGAGAAACGGUCAGGUUCUGGAUGAUAUUCAAAGGUGGGACUGCCCGGAGCUGUAACUGAGAGGCUAUGGGGUGUGAAAGAGCAUGAAAGUCCAGGACGCCUGCAGUUUCCACUUGGGUCCCUGGAAGAAGAAUUCUAAGUCUUUUCAAGACCGAAUGGACCACAGAGGAGAGGCACUGGGUAGAAAACUCAACAGGUGAUAUUUGAAGACCUCUACUUAUAGCCUGGGUCAUCCCCCUGGAAGCUGAAGAUCCUGUUCUCAAAGCCUUUUAAUUGCUUGGCUAAAGACUGAACACGUACCUUGUUCCCCACCAAAGCCGCUGCCUGGCAGAACAUUCCAGGGCACAGGCUCUUGCAUUCUCCAGUCUGGAAGCUUCUGCUUCCACGGCCUGACAGAGUGAGCCGGACCAGGCCAUCAUGUUCAUGGUUCCAGCCCUACUAAGACUGGGCUCCAACAGCUGGGCCCUGCAGAGAGGGCGAUGGAAGGAAGACCCUAGCACAGGCCAGAAGGAGGCCCUGGGCUGUCACGGGUGCCACUGGUCUGGCCCCUGCACUUCCAAAGGAGCUGUUCUUGCCAAACUCCAAGCCCCCUCCCUAGGAGGCAUGCUGGCAAUGGUGGGCCAUGGCUUACAGAUUCGCUGGCCAUGCAUGGCUUAGUGCAGAAAACUACUGCUCUUUGAGAAGAGAAAAGACGACCGCGCUCUGUGGGUGGAUUUAAGUUGUGCUGUGCUGCCGCCUUGCCUCAUUCCCCAUCACCACCCCCCUUC
ensembl:lncRNA